rnacentral:tRNA from 1 species
UCCCUGGUGGCUCAGAUGGUAAAGCAUCUGCCUGCAAAGCAGGAGACCUGGGUUCAGUCCCUGGGUUGGGAA